AACUUUUGACAAUGGAUCUCUUGGCUCUCGCAUAGAUGAAGAACGCAGCGAAAUGCGAUACGUAAUGUGAAUUGCAGAAUUCAGUGAAUCAUCGAAUCUUUGAACGCACCUUGCUCCCCUUGGAAUUCCGAGGGGCACACCCGUUUGAGUGUCGUGAACAUCCUUCAACCUUUCUUGGUUUCUUAACCGGGGAAGGCUUGGACUUUGGGGGUCUUUCAUUGCUGGCCUCUUUGUAGCCAGCUCCUCCUAAAUGGAUUAGUGUGUUCUGCUUUGCCGAUCCUUGACGUGAUAAGAUGUUUCUACGUCUUGGGUUUCUCACUGUCGCUUUAGACCCCGCUGCUAACCGUCUUGCAUUCAAGACAGAGUGUUAAACCUUCACCUAGAGUCGGGUGAGACUACCCGCUGAACUUAAGCAUAUAAAUCAGCGGAGGCU
rnacentral:misc_RNA from 1 species